rnacentral:rRNA from 1 species
GUGAGUAACACGUGGGCAAUCUGCCCUUCACUCUGGGACAAGCCCUGGAAACGGGGUCUAAUACCGGAUAACACUGCGGAUCGCAUGGUCUGCGGUUAAAAGCUCCGGCGGUGAAGGAUGAGCCCGCGGCCUAUCAGCUUGUUGGUGAGGUAAUGGCUCACCAAGGCGACGACGGGUAGCCGGCCUGAGAGGGCGACCGGCCACACUGGGACUGAGACACGGCCCAGACUCCUACGGGAGGCAGCAGUGGGGAAUAUUGCACAAUGGGCGAAAGCCUGAUGCAGCGACGCCGCGUGAGGGAUGACGGCCUUCGGGUUGUAAACCUCUUUCAGCAGGGAAGAAGCGAAAGUGACGGUACCUGCAGAAGAAGCGCCGGCUAACUACGUGCCAGCAGCCGCGGUAAUACGUAGGGCGCAAGCGUUGUCCGGAAUUAUUGGGCGUAAAGAGCUCGUAGGCGGCUUGUCACGUCGAUUGUGAAAGCCCGAGGCUUAACCUCGGGUCUGCAGUCGAUACGGGCUAGCUAGAGUGUGGUAGGGGAGAUCGGAAUUCCUGGUGUAGCGGUGAAAUGCGCAGAUAUCAGGAGGAACACCGGUGGCGAAGGCGGAUCUCUGGGCCAUUACUGACGCUGAGGAGCGAAAGCGUGGGGAGCGAACAGGAUUAGAUACCCUGGUAGUCCACGCCGUAAACGGUGGGAACUAGGUGUUGGCGACAUUCCACGUCGUCGGUGCCGCAGCUAACGCA